rnacentral:rRNA from 1 species
GUCCAACCUGCCCAGUGAAAAUUUUUAAACGGCCGCGGUAUUCUAACCGUGCAAAGGUAGCGCAAUCACUUGCCCCUUAAUUAAGGGCUAGUAUGAACGGUUACAUGAGGGUUUAACUGUCUCCUAUGACCAAUCAAUGAACUUGAUCACUCCGUACAAACGCUGAGAUAAACCCACAAGACGAGAAGACCCUGUGGAACUUUAAGUCCCCUGCAAGCAGGCCAAGAACCCGCCAGCCCCCUUCCUAGCAGGCACUUUCAGUUGGGGCAACUACGGAGUAAAAAAGAACCUCCAUGCACUGCAGUUAACCCCUGCCACCCUAGGCCAACACGCCUACCCUACCAACCAGACCCAGCAAAGCUGAGCAACGGACCAAGCUACCCCAGGGAUAACAGCGCCAUCCCCUUCAAGAGUCCAUAUCGCCAAGGGGGUUUACGACCUCGAUGUUGGAUCAGGACCCCCCGGCGGUGCAGCCGCUGCCAAUGGUUCGUUUGUUCAACGAAUAAUGUCCU